AGAGAGUGUGUGACUGUGUCCUUGGAAGAGGGAAAGGGGGGAAGAACUCGCUCGCCUCCUGUUCCUGAGUCGGAGAUGCCUCGCUCUGCCACUCAACGCGCUUGGCUUCCUCCUCUCGGUGCCCUCCUCCUCCUCCUCCUCCUCUUCGCUCGGCGUGCUGCAGCUGCACUAGAAGAUGGUACGCCUCCUUAGCCUUCCGCUACAUCGGGCCUUCUUUCUUGGGGUUUCCGUUAAGGAACAUCUCCUGCCUCUUGCAUUCUUAGAGAAGCAUUUGUGAGAUCGCUAUGUCUUAUGAUGCUGUUUGUUUCUUUUACGAAUAAUCUGUGCUCUGGAGUUGCUUCUUCUUUCUCCUAGACUCUGCUGAGCCGGGAAGCAGCCUCUUCUCAGGAUUCCUUUAGAGUCAGUCGUUAGAAGAAAAAGAUGAUAACAGUGACUCCCGGAGAAGGAAAGCUCGAAAACGACCAUGGCAGCGAAAGGAGACGCCUCUCCUAAACCCUACUCCCGACUGCUUCAUCCCCAUGGAAGUAGUUUGCGUGUCGUAAUCGAUCAGAGUCCCCGUAGAAAUCCACAGCGCGGCGUCCACCACGGUGAAAGGUGAUCGGCAUCCUAAGAUCGCUGAGGUCGAGAGUUAGAACUAAACUAUAUGGGUCCUACUUAAUCAGAUCGAUUGUCUACAACGUGUUAGAACUAAACUAGUCAUCAGGUCAGGUCAGAUUGCUUUCAGAAGACUAUGUUGACGCCCCAACAAAUAUUUUAGAUAGCUCUUUCUCUUCCUACCUUCCGUCGCUAUCAUCCCAUUUAGUACAGAAAUCAUAGCAGUGCUCUUUUCCUUUUGCCUCUCGCUUUACCGUACCUUUGAUGCUAAAUCAAUUCGGGUGUUGCGUUGUCUCGCGCGUGUGUUACGCCAACUUAUUACCUUCAUGUGCAUUCAUUAUUAGAUUGGGACCGCGUGAUCCCACGGAAUUAUGUGGAGUAAUAAUAUCACUAGAUCAACACCCUACCAAACAAAAUACUCAUACAAGAUUUUGAUGGUGAGAUGAAUCGAUUCACUGUGCGGGAGUGGGAAGCUCUCACGGCGGUCGCGUGAGAAAUGGGGGGCCCAAUCGCCCAUGUGCUGGCACAGGUCUACCUUACCUGCUUGUUUUAUCUUGGUUGCCGAUUGACCCGAGGUUUGGGUUGGAACUACGAGCACCGUGAAAAGGGGAAGGGAUCAGACGCCGACGGAGAUGGAGCAGCAGCCUUUGGCUGCCCCUUCCUGUCACAAACGUUGGACCUGCUUCCGAUGCCCUCUUUCACGGCCAUAGUUGCUCGUGUCUAUAAACCUGUGCCCUUGAGUGUUUGUUUUUGCUUGCUUUUACUCAUCUCGAUGGGAAUAAUGACGCUGUGAUCACUCGUACCGUAGGUUUGGUUAACAACGGGGCCUUCGAGACGGUGCCAGCAGGCGGGGCCUCCGGUAGCGGCCUGGGGGAAGGUGUCGCUUCCCUGCCCGGGUGGACCAUCAAUGGCACGGUGGAGCUGGUGGAGUCUGGGCAAAAGCAAGGUGGCAUGAUACUUAUAGUCCCCGAAGGUAACAGAGCUACAGUGCCCCUGGUUUCUUUUGCCCGGUCUCAUCUCUGCUUUUAGUGUUUUCCCUGAACAGUGCUCCGAAUCCUUUUUCCCUAUGACACCGGUCCACUCCCUUUCUCGAGUUCCUAAAGCAUCCAUCUUUUCCCAUGGCCGUCACUCUUUAUUAGCUUAAGUUCCACUUCUCAUGCGAGAACAUUAUACAGAUAAGGACAUGCAUGCCAAUAGAAUCAUCAGGUCAUACACGGCACCAAGCGGGAUCACGUUCCUUGUCGAGUUGAGUUCUUAAUUGAACCUGAGGAUUUCCUUUCCGCGCUGACACAGUGUCAGUCGUGUUAGAGAAUCCUGUCUCUGUUUCACAAGCUUGCGGUCUAC
rnacentral:lncRNA from 1 species